AACACAAAAAUGGUCAUCUUCUCAAUUAGUUUCUGCCGAUUUUUGCUCUCCUCCAUAGCUGGGGUUUCUUCAACUUUCAAGCUUCAUAUACUUAUCUAGUCACUCGAGGAUCGAAGGAAACGUCGGAGGCCGAUCACACUAUCAAAGAAAUAACUCGGUAUAACUAGAUGUUUUGUUUUGGGUAUGGCAUGUAUAGAAACUUAGCUACUUUUGGUAUAAUAUGAACAAUGAAUGAUGUGUAAAUACUUGCUAGUGAUUAGCUAAUAAAAUAGCCGAUGAUAUACAUGUUUAUUAAUA